GACGGAAGGUGCAAGCGUUGCUCGGAAUCAUUGGGCGGAAAGGGUGCGUAGGCGGCUUGGUGGGUCUGGUGUGAAAGCCCCGGGCUUAGCCCGGGAAGGGCGCUAGAAACUGCCGAGCUCGAGUGCCGGAGGGGAGAGUGGAAUUCCUGGUGUAGCGGUGAAAUGCGUAGAGAUCAGGAGGAAUACCGGUGGCGAAAGCGACUCUCUGGACGGCAACUGACGCUGAGGCACGAAAGCGUGGGGAGCAAACAGG
rnacentral:rRNA from 1 species